AGAUUGAACGCUGGCGGCAUGCCUUACACAUGCAAGUCGAACGGCAGCACGGGAGCAAUCCUGGUGGCGAGUGGCGAACGGGUGAGUAGUAUAUCGGAACGUGCCCAGGUAAUGGGGGAUAGCCCGGGCGAAAGCCGGAUUAAUACCGCAUACGACCUACGGGUGAAAGCGGGGGGAUCGCAAGACCUCGCGUUAUGGAGCGGCCGAUAUCAGAUUAGCUUGUUGGACGGGGUAAAAGCCCACCAAGGCGACGAUCUGUAGCUGGUCUGAGAGGACGACCAGCCACACUGGGACUGAGACACGGCCCAGACUCCUACGGGAGGCAGCAGUGGGAAUUUGGACAUGGGCGUAAGCCUAGAUCCAGCCAUGCCGCGUGGUAGGGAAGAACGGGUCCUUCGGGUUAGUAACCGUACGUUUUGUCGUAACGGAAGAAACGGCGUUACCUACGUUAAAGUAGUUAAGGAGAC
rnacentral:rRNA from 1 species